ACGAACGCUGGCGGCGUGCUUAACACAUGCAGGUCGAACGGAAAGGCCCUGCUUUUGUGGGGUGCUCGAGUGGCGAACGGGUGAGUAACACGUGAGUAACCUGCCCUUGACUUUGGGAUAACUUCAGGAAACUGGGGCUAAUACCGGAUAGGAGCUCCUGCUGCAUGGUGGGGGUUGGAAAGUUUCGGCGGUUGGGGAUGGACUCGCGGCUUAUCAGCUUGUUGGUGGGGUAGUGGCUUACCAAGGCCUUGACGGGUAGCCGGCCUGAGAGGGUGACCGGCCACAUUGGGACUGAGAUACGGCCCAGACUCCUACGGGAGGCAGCAGUGGGGAAUAUUGCACAAUGGGCGGAAGCCUGAUGCAGCAACGCCGCGUGCGGGAUGACGGCCUUCGGGUUGUAAACCGCUUUCGCCUGUGACGAAGCGUGAGUGACGGUAAUGGGUAAAGAAGCACCGGCUAACUACGUG
rnacentral:rRNA from 1 species